AACGAACGCUGGCGGCGGGCUUAACACAUGCAAGUCGAACGCCCCGCAAGGGGAGUGGCAGACGGGUGAGUAACGCGUGGGAAUCUACCCAGAUCUUCGGAACAACUGAGGGAAACUUCAGCUAGUACCGGAUACGCCCUACGGGGGAAAGAUUUAUCGGUUCUGGAUGAGCCCGCGUUGGAUUAGCUAGUUGGUGAGGUAACGGCUCACCAAGGCGACGAUCCAUAGCUGGUCUGAGAGGAUGAUCAGCCACACUGGGACUGAGACACGGCCCAGACUCCUACGGGAGGCAGCAGUGGGGAAUAUUGGACAAUGGGCGAAGGCCUGAUCCAGCCAUGCCGCGUGAGUGAUGAAGGCCUUAGGGUUGUAAAGCUCUUUCAGUAGGGAAGAUAAUGACGGUACCUACAGAAGAAGCCCCGGCUAACUUCGUGCAGCCGCCGCGGUAA
rnacentral:rRNA from 1 species